ACUCCUACGGGAGGCAGCAGUGGGGAAUAUUGCACAAUGGGGGAAACCCUGAUGCAGCCAUGCCGCGUGUGUGAAGAAGGCCUUCGGGUUGUAAAGCACUUUCAGCGAGGAGGAAAGGUUGGCAGCUAAUAUCUGUCAGCUGUGACGUUACUCGCAGAAGAAGCACCGGCUAACUCCGUGCCAGCAGCCGCGGUAAUACGGAGGGUGCAAGCGUUAAUCGGAAUUACUGGGCGUAAAGCGCACGCAGGCGGUUGGAUAAGUUAGAUGUGAAAGCCCCGGGCUCAACCUGGGAAUUGCAUUUAAAACUGUUCAGCUAGAGUCUUGUAGAGGGGGGUAGAAUUCCAGGUGUAGCGGUGAAAUGCGUAGAGAUCUGGAGGAAUACCGGUGGCGAAGGCGGCCCCCUGGACAAAGAC
rnacentral:rRNA from 1 species